GUGCUUGCUUCGGCAACAUGUAUACUAAAAUUGGAAUGAUACAGAGAUUAGCAUGACCCCCUGCACAAGGAUGACAUGCAAAUUCGUGAAGCGUUCCAUAUUUAA